rnacentral:lncRNA from 1 species
UCUUAAAAUCUUGAUAGUCCGCAUAUACCCGAGGAAUUAAACAAACAUAACUUACAAUUACAAACAGUCUUGAAAAUUGUCUUCAAUAGCUAGUCUUUUCUAUAUGACCUUGACCUUUACCCAAAAGUUUUAGAUUUUACCAUAUAUAUCCUAGUUAGCAUGUGACAUGAACACAAACACACCAAAUUAAUCAGGGAAAAAAAUUAAAUGCUUUCAGGAUUACUUUAAAACUCUUUUUAAAUGCUGCACUUAAAACAAGAAGUACUGUGACAAAGUAAACAGAUGUAUAAUAUGGUCACACUCGAACUAGCAUGAAUACAAAAUGAAAUGACUUGAAAUUCCAUUUCAAUAACCACAUGAAG